rnacentral:rRNA from 1 species
AAAUUGAAGAGUUUGAUCAUGGCUCAGAUUGAACGCUGGCGGCAGGCCUAACACAUGCAAGUCGAACGGUAACAGGAAGCAGCUUGCUGUUUCGCUGACGAGUGGCGGACGGGUGAGUAAUGUCUGGGAAACUGCCUGAUGGAGGGGGAUAACUACUGGAAACGGUAGCUAAUACCGCAUAACGUCGCAAGACCAAAGAGGGGGACCUUCGGGCCUCUUGCCAUCGGAUGUGCCCAGAUGGGAUUAGCUUGUUGGUGGGGUAACGGCUCACCAAGGCGACGAUCCCUAGCUGGUCUGAG